UACGUAGGGAGCAAGCGUUGUCCGGAUUUAUUGGGCGUAAAGAGCUCGUAGGCGGUUCCGUAAGUCAGGCGUGAAAAAUCUGGGCUCAACCCAGUGGAGCACCUGAUACUGCGGUGACUCGAGUCCGGUAGGGGAGUGUGGAAUUCCUGGUGUAGCGGUGAAAUGCGCAGAUAUCAGGAGGAACACCGACGGCGAAGGCAGCACUCUGGGCCGGUACUGACGCUGAGGAGCGAAAGCAUGGGGAGCGAACAGG
rnacentral:rRNA from 1 species